CACUUCUUCAGUUGCCAAAAACAGGGAGAAGGAAACCGACCGACAGAAGAACAAAAUUUCCAUGCGAAAGGGAAAGGGAAAUCGAACCAAUUAGGAUCCAAAUCGCCUUUCCCGCUUCGGAACGCUCGGUUCGCGAGAUCUAUCAAGCUCGGAUAAAGCCUCGCCGCCGCGGCGCCGGGAAUCGUAUGAUCGACUCGGACGUUGUUGAUUUCGCCAUCUUCAUUUGCAUUUGCGCGAGUUAGCUGGACGAAAGCUCGACUCCACGCGCACGCGGCGAUUUAGCUAGAAUCGUGGUGCGCAGAGAGAGCCUCCGAUUUCUCGAGCCGGGGGCGAAGACGGUGAAUCCUGGCGCCGCGUUGCUGAAUUAUUGUGAUGGGGGAUUGCGACAGCUUGCGAGCGUGAUUCGGCAGGUUAGGAACAAUGGCCGUGGACGAGGACAGCGACGAGCUAGCCGUUAGCCGAAAGGAGGAGUUUGCGAUUGCUGAAACCACGAGGGAGAGGAGAUAGUUCGUUGUUGUGAUUCGGGAAGGGUUUUGCGAAAAUGGGUCUGGAUAAGCACGGCAGUGAGAUGUUUAUCGAGAGAAGGGGUGUGAUUGGCGCGUUCCUGCAUUGGUUGAGGCGAGGCAGGGAUCGACUCCGAGCUGCUCGUCGAGGGAGGAGGACUAAUAAGCAGAGAUUCUCGCGCUUGGCGUUUCUGUUGGCCGCUAUCUUCCUGUUUUGCGUGGUGGCAUUAGGCCUGAACAUGUUCCUGCACGGAAAGAUGGAAGGCAGAGCUUCAUCUACCCUGGCAGUAAAAGUGGCAGACACAGCAAAAGGAGCAGACACAGUAAAAGAAGUAAACUCAGUACAGGAAGCAAGCAUAGUGUCUGGUGUUGGAAAAAAACCAACAACCAAGCAUCGCAAGCGGCAUCUUCCUUGUGAAAUAACUUUAUCAGACUCAGUCAAGAAUCUAGUUGAACCCAGCAGUUUCAUCAAUUUCACGCAGUUUUCACUGCAUUACAUUGAAAAGGAGGAACAUUCCAUCCCUAGAUUUGGCGGACAUCAGAACCUUGGUGAAAGAGAGAAAUCCUUUCAUGCAAGAAGCCAAAAACUUCAUUGUGGUUUUGUCAAGGGGCCAGCAAGAUUCCCGAGCACUGGAUUCGAUUUGGACGAAAAGGACAAAUUAUAUAUGAACACAUGUAAAGUUGUAGUGUCUUCUUGCAUUUUCGGAAGUUCUGAUUUUCUGAGGCGGCCAACAAGCAAGCGGAUCACUGAGUAUUCCAAGAAAAAUGUCUGCUUUGUUAUGUUUGUGGAUGAGGAGACACUAGCAACUCUGUCAUCAGAAGGGAAUAUUCCUGAUGAUACAGGUCAUAUUGGGCUAUGGAAAAUAGUUGUCGUCAAGAACCUACCAUACAAAGACAUGCGUCGAACUGGUAAAGUGCCAAAACUCCUGUCUCAUCGGCUCUUCCCUUCUUCCAGGUAUUCAAUAUGGCUUGACAGCAAAAUGCGUCUGUACACUGAUCCAAUGCUUAUCAUCGAGUACUUUUUGUGGCGAACGAGGUCAGAGUUUGCCAUUUCAAACCACUAUGAUCGUCAUUGUGUCUGGGAGGAGGUACUCCAAAACAAACGCCUGAACAAGUACAAUCACACAGCCAUUGAUGAACAGUUUCUGGUUUACCAGUCUGAUGGCCUCACCAAGUUUGAUCCUGCUGACCCAAAUACUCCUCUUCCUAGUUAUGUGCCUGAAGGCUCCUUCAUUGUGCGGGCCCAUACACCAAUGUCAAACUUAUUUUCAUGUCUUUGGUUCAAUGAGGUUGAUCGAUUCACGUCACGUGAUCAACUAAGCUUUGCAUACACUUACCUCAAAUUGAGGAGAUUAAAUCCCGACAGACAGUUCCGUUUACAUAUGUUCAAGGAUUGUGAGCGCAGAGCGAUAGCAAAGCUAUUCCAUCACAGGGAGCUUCCCGUUCCAGCUUCACCUUGAGUUUCUUUGGUGUUUCUACCUGGUCUACCAAAUGGUACCUGGCUCAUCGCCCUAUUUUGAAUUUGUGGUUGGAUGAAGAUACACUCAUCAUUCUAGACUGAAUCAUCAAAUUAGGAAUUGAUUUCAAAGUCAAUAUGUAGGUUCACCAAGGGAUCUCCAAAAUCUUGUCUGCUUCUGCAGGAAAUAUUGGAUCCUUGUAGUCAGAUCUACAUAAGUGCUCUCGGGUGAUCUUGAGACAGGAAGAAAUUAGUGGACCUCCUUCACUUGCUCAGAUCAAAUGUAUUGCGGUAUGUAAGCUGUCGAGAGUGAGCAAGGCUAGGUGACUUGAGAGUGAAUCUCCCGUUGAAGGUGGGUUUACUUAUGAAUCGUCAUAUGAGUCGGUUCGCUGAUUAGACGAAACGGCUGCCCUUUGAAGUGAACAGGAUGGCUUUUUUAUUUUUUCUUCUAUUUCCCGGAGAGGGAAAAGCUCAUUUUAGUUCAGCUUCUUGUCUCUCCCUUGGUAAGUAGAAGACUAUACUGUCUUGAUAAUCUUCUUAGUAGCAACAGUGAAAAGGCCAUUUUACGGCUAUGAUUUUGUCAUUCUUUUUUCGAUUUUGUCAUUCUUAAGACACAGACGAGUAUGUGCUU